GCGGGCGUAGCUUAGUGGUAAAGCGUUGGCUUCCCAAGCCAAUGAUGAGGGUUCGAUUCCCUUCGCCCGCUCCA
rnacentral:tRNA from 1 species